rnacentral:tRNA from 1 species
GGAAAGGGCAUGGCUUAGUGGUGGAGAGUCUGCUUGGCAUGCAGAAGAUCCCAUGUUCAAUCCUAGCUUUUCCA